GAUGAACGCUGGCGGCGUGCCUAAUACAUGCAAGUCGAGCGAACAGACGAGGAGCUUGCUCCUCUGACGUUAGCGGCGGACGGGUGAGUAACACGUGGAUAACCUACCUAUAAGACUGGGAUAACUUCGGGAAACCGGAGCUAAUACCGGAUAACAUGUUGAACCGCAUGGUUCAACAGUGAAAGACGGCCUUGCUGUCACUUAUAGAUGGAUCCGCGCCGCAUUAGCUAGUUGGUAAGGUAACGGCUUACCAAGGCAACGAUGCGUAGCCGACCUGAGAGGGUGAUCGGCCACACUGGAACUGAGACACGGUCCAGACUCCUACGGGAGGCAGCAGUAGGGAAUCUUCCGCAAUGGGCGAAAGCCUGACGGAGCAACGCCGCGUGAGUGAUGAAGGUCUUCGGAUCGUAAAACUCUGUUAUUAGGGAAGAACAAAUGUGUAAGUAACUAUGCACGUCUUGACGGUACCUAAUCAGAAAGCCACGGCUAACUACGUG
rnacentral:rRNA from 1 species